AUGCCUGUCUUGACCCUGCAGCUCUGGCAGAGGAGACCAGCCGUGGAUUCCCAAAUCCUCCCAGUCAGUGUUGUCCAGUGUGAGGUGCAGUUGCUGGAGUCUGGGGGAGACUUAGUGCAGCCUGGAAAGUCUCUGAAACUCUCCUGUGAAGCCUCUGGAUUCACCUUCAGUAGUUAUGCAAUGAGCUGGGUCCGCCAGGCUUCCGGGAAGGGUUUGGAGUGGGUAGCAUCCAUUAGCAGUAGUGGUGGUAGCACCAGUUAUACUGACGCUGUGAAGGGCCGGUUCACAAUCUCCAGAGACAAUGCCAAGAACACUCUGUACCUGGAAAUGAGCAGUCUGAAGUCUGAAGACACAGCCAUGUAUUACUGUGCAAGCCACACAAACACCAUCAGCAGGGACACCUCCAAGAGCCAUGUCUCCUUAAAACUGAACAGUCUGCAAACUGGAGACACAGCCAUAUAUUUCUCUACCAGAGACACAGUGAUGGACCUCCAGUGUAAACCUGUACAAACCUUCCUACAGAGAUCUCAGGGCCAGCGGGUGGUACAAAGGCCCAAUUUAGGCUCCCCAGCACUAACACAAGACAUUUCAGUGUGCUAA